UGAACCACCCCAGGCCCUUUGCACCUGCUAUUCCCUCUCCUCAGCAUGCUCUGCCCCAGACAAUUGCAGUGCUAACUUCUUACUUCCUUCAGAUUUCACUCAGAAAUGACUUUCUCAGUGUGGUCUCCCAUGACCAUUCUAUUUAAGAUUUCAACUACUUUGCCAGCAUUUCACUUCCCCUCCCUUCAUCUUUUCUUCCAAGAACUCACUGCCCUCUCGCAUACUGUAUCUUUUACUUAUUUAUCUUGUUCAGUUUCUGCCUGCCUCACCACAGUGUACAUUUCACAAGGGCAGGGAUUUUGUCUGUUUUGUUGACUGCUGUAGCCCUGGCAUCUUGAGCAGUGCCAGCACCUGGUAGCAUUAAAUAAAUAUUUACUGAAUGAAUGAGUGGCUUCAUGCUUAAAAGCAAGAAGAGAGACCUUCAUAGAGAAGUAGGAAAAUGAACUGUUGCACAAAUAAAGGGCCAUGUAAUGAGAGAGAGAGAGAGAGAGCAAGAGAAAGAGCAAACAAUUAAGGAGCAGCAGUGGCUUCCUGCAGGGGAGACCAAUGCCUUCUGUCCUCUGAGGAAACAGCUUGGCAUUCUUCCAAUUGAUGAAUGGCAUGGACCAGGAGCACCAGUUAUCUUCAGCUUCUAAGCAUCCGAAUAAAUAAACAUACAAGUGCAUAACAUAAAACAAAUUCAAAUUACAAAUGAGAAAACCAAUCUAGGUUACCGGCAAGUCCUAUGACUUGAUGUGGAGGCCUGGAAGUGCAUCCUUGAACAUUGCAAUGCAGUGAGCCAAGGAAAGAUGAGAGGCCACAUGAAUAACUGGGCCAGUGACAAGACACAUGUCCUCCUCCUUGUGGGUAUACACCAGAAUACCCUGCAUCCAGAGAAUGCUCAAAAAGUGUUGGUGGAAGUGACAGAAUUCCAUCACCAUUAAACACAACUAGUGUUGUGGUUGACAAUGGCACUGAAGCAGGUGAAAAAUCAAUACAGCAGCUUCUGUCUUUAAAGAGUUUGCAGCCUCCUGAAGAGGGUUUACAGGUAAAAAAGGACCCAGGCUGAUAGGGCCGCUACCAUUUAGAAAGUGACAAGAGGAAGAGAGAAUGAAACAAAAGUAAGCACUGGCUCUCAGCUUCUACCUGAAGAGACAAACAUUGCUUUCACUUACAUUUCACUGGCCAAAUCAAGCCCAUGGCAACAAUUGAGUUCAAAAGCAUAAGGAGGUAUCUGGAAGGAAGAGAAUCAGAAAAUUUCUGAUGAGCCUCACUGACUACCUUCAGGGCAAAAAUGAAUAGAGGCACUCCAGAUCAGAGAUCUGCAUUGGAAACUCCUUGAGAACCAGAAGGGUAUGCUGUAUUUUUGUAAUUGUGAGGAGCACAGAAAGACCGAAGCCCAAAUAAACUUCCUUUAUUCAAUAUU